rnacentral:rRNA from 1 species
UACGUAGGUGGCAAGCGUUGUCCGGAUUUACUGGGCGUAAAGAGCGCGCAGGCGGUCGUUCAAGUCGCGUGUGAAAGCCCGGGCUCAACCCCGGAGGGUCAGCCGAUACUGGCAGGCUAGAGUACGGAAGAGGUAGCUGGAAUUCCCGGUGUAGCGGUGAAAUGCGUAGAUAUCGGGGAGGAACACCAGUGGCGAAGGCGACUACCUGGCCUGUUCUUGACGCUGAGGCG